GAUGAACGCUAGCUACAGGCUUAACACAUGCAAGUCGAGGGGCAGCAUGGUCUUAGCUUGCUAAGGCCGAUGGCGACCGGCGCACGGGUGAGUAACACGUAUCCAACCUGCCGUCUACUCUUGGACAGCCUUCUGAAAGGAAGAGUAAUACAAGAUGGCAUCAUGAGUUCACAUGUUCACAUGAUUAAAGGUAUUCCGGUAGACGAUGGGGAUGCGUUCCAUUAGAUAGUAGGCGGGGUAACGGCCCACCUAGUCUUCGAUGGAUAGGGGUUCUGAGAGGAACGUCCCCCACGUUGGAACUGAGACACGGUCCAAGCUACUACGGGAGGCAGCAGUCGGGAAGAAUGGGCGAGGGGCGAGAGACUGAAGCAGCCAAGUAGCGUGAAGGAUGACUGGUCUAUGGAUAGUAACCUUCUGUUGUAAAGGAAUAAAGCCGGGUACGUAUCCCCGUGUGCAUGUACUUUAUGAAUAAGGACCGGCUAACUACGUG
rnacentral:rRNA from 1 species